GUUCUGUAGGCUUUAUGGAAAUAUGGAUAAUGUUGGAUGCACAACAACAAGUUCAGUUGUAAACUUAAGUUACCUUAAGUGUUGGUUCUGGUUGUUGAACUGUACUCUUUAUAUGAUGUGGAUUUGUUCAUAACAUCGGUCCGGUCCAUCUCCUACAGGUAUCUGUACUGACCU